rnacentral:rRNA from 1 species
UACGUAGGGUGCGAGCGUUGUCCGGAAUUAUUGGGCGUAAAGAGCUUGUAGGCGGUUUGUCGCGUCUGCCGUGAAAAUCCGGGGCUCAACCCCGGACUUGCGGUGGGUACGGGCAGACUAGAGUGUGGUAGGGGAGAUCGGAAUUCCUGGUGUAGCGGUGGAAUGCGCAGAUAUCAGGAGGAACACCGGUGGCGAAGGCGGAUCUCUGGGCCAUAACUGACGCUGAGGAGCGAAAGCAUGGGGAGCGAACAGG